AUUUAAGCAAUUAGUCUAUACUUUUGGUAUGCAAGAGAUAUAAUAAUCUCCUUAAAUA
rnacentral:tRNA from 1 species